GACGAACGCUGGCGGCGUGCCUAAUACAUGCAAGUCGAGCGAUCAAGUUUGGUGCUUGCACCACUUUGAAGAGCAGCGAACGGGUGAGUAACGCGUGGGGAAUCUGCCUUUGAGCGGGGGACAACAUCUGGAAACGAAUGCUAAUACCGCAUAACAACUUUAAACAUAAGUUUUAAGAUUGAAAGAUGCAAUUGCAUCACUCAAAGAUGAUCUCGCGUUGUAUUAGCUAGGUGGUGAGGUAAAGGCCCACCAAGGCGAAGAUACAUUGCCGACCUGAAGAGGUGGUCGGCCACAAUGGGAAUGGGACACGGCCCAAACUCCUACGGGAGGCAGCAGUAGGGAAUCUUCGGCAAUGGACGAAAGUCUGGCCGGGCAACGCCGCGUGGGGGAAGAAGGUUUUCGGAUCGUAAAACUCUGUUGGUAGAGAAGAACGUUAGUGGGAGUGGAAAGCGCAUCAAGUGACGGUAACUACUCAGAAAGGGACGGCUAACUACGUG
rnacentral:rRNA from 1 species